rnacentral:ncRNA from 1 species
CUUAUCAAGAGAGGCGGAGGAAACAGGUCCUGUGAAGCCCGGCAACCUGACAUUCAAGGUGCUAAAUCCUGCGGUAUAACCGGAAGAUGAGG